GAUCAUCUCCAUCAGGCCCAGCCGGAUCACUGCCGCCUUGGUGUUGUCCCCGCAACGCAGACCAUCACAGAACCCUGCCCCCACCGCCACAAUGUUCUGCCCAGUGACAGAGGGGAGAGCAAACAUAAUGUUUAUCAGCUACCUCAUUGGCGAUGUUGGCGCCCAUUAAAACGCUGACGUCGAUCCCCAUCUUCUCCCGGAUGAUGUCAGAGAUCAGUCGGAUUCCUUCGGGACCCUCAUCUAUGCCCUGCCAAGAGGGGGGAAUGAGAGGGAGUCACUGAUCAGAGACAGCAGUGCCUGUCCCAAAUGUCAUACAGCAUCUGUGCCAUCACCAAAAUGAAGGUCUGUCUUUGGGUGUUUCAAUUGCACAUGCUAAAUCCUGCCAUACUGGUACAUCAAAUUGAAAUUUCCACUUUCUGACGAAGUCUAUAGGGCAAUGCUCAGAGUCAGACACUGCUUUGCACUGACUGAGGAAUGUAUCACCAAAUUAAUCAACUAAUCAAAAUGGAGACUAGGUCCUUUACUGGGAUUGUUGUAAUUAAGUAGUUUAAAAAUGAAUUAACAAAUACCCAGUCCAUAUUUUAUGUACAUAGCAACUUGCCAAUCAGCCCAGUCCCUGGACCUCCAGAGACCAAUUUACCAUGAAAAGCCUGAUAGAUUGCAGGUCUUCAUAUGUACUGAUUCCACAGAAAUUCCUUCCCCCUGAUUUCUUGAAUUUCAUUUAAAUCACAUUCUUAACAAAAAUAUAUUUUUCACCAAAAUGUAAUGAACAUGCAAUUAAUUCUACAUUUCGAACUGAAAUGGUUGUAGAACAUCUGUUGCCUCAUUCUUUUAUGCAAUUAAGCAGAUUCUACUGUAGUUACUUUACUGUGUCUAACAUUGCACAUAAACUUGAAAGUAGCCAAAACUUGGUGUCAUUCAGGGCCAAAUUGUACCAGUAAAUGCACAGACCAUUUCUAUUUGUUUUACAGGUGUUUUUUGUUGCGCAAGUUCUCCUAUAGGCAGCUCAAAAGACCACUUAGGUGGCCCUUCUAAGACAUUUCAAUGCAGGAAAAACCCUGGUAGUUUAUGUCAUUAAAGGGAGCUAACCAAACUCAAAUCUCGUUUAAUGAUUGGCCUUAAAUUAGAUUUCUUUACACUCUCAGAAGUGAGAAGUCUUACCGUUGUGUCAUCCUAUGAACCAGCAAUAUCUGAAACGUGUGGUGCAUUAAAAACUGGACAAUAUAUACAGUAUCUGCAUACUUUGUAAACAUUAUAAGAAACUUGACUUGUUCAGUGCAUUUAUAUUUGUUGCCUACAAAAAAACCAAGACAUCCUCAGAAACACACCUGCAAUUCAAUAAAAUUCAAGUGACACAU